AGAGUUUGAUCAUGGCUCAGAAUGAACGUUGGCGGCGUGGAUUAGGCAUGCAAGUCGUACGGGCCGCAAGGCGUGGCGCAAGGGUGAGUAAGGCGACGGUAACCAACCCCAUGGCUGGGUAUAGCCGCGGGAAACCGCGGGUAAUCCCCCAGCGACGUGCGGGGCCGGCAUCGGCUCUGCACCAAAGCUCCGGCGCCGUGGGACGGGCCGUCGUGGUAUUAGGUAGUUGGCGGGGUAACGGCCCACCAAGCCUGCGAUGCCUACCGGGCGUGCGAGCGUGGCCCGGCACACUGGGACUGAGACACUGCCCAGACUCCUACGGGAGGCUGCAGUCGAGAAUCUUCGGCAAUGGGCGCAAGCCUGACCGAGCGACGCCGCGUGGAGGACGAAGGCCUUCGGGUUGUAAACUCCUGUCGAGGGGAAGGAAGUCCCGACUUGUCGGGAUUGACCGAUCCCUGGAGGAAGCACGGGCUAAGUUCGUGCCAGCAGCCGCGGUAAGACGAACCGUGCGAACGUUAUUCGGAAUCACUGGGCUUAAAGCGCGUGUAGGCGGGACGGCACGUCUGUCGCUGAAAUCCCCCGGCUCAACCGGGGAACGGGCGCGGAUACGACCGUCCUGGAGGGGCGUAGGGGGACCUGGAACUUCCGGUGGGGCGGUGAAAUGCGUUGAGAUCGGAAGGAACGCCCGUGGCGAAAGCGAGGUCCUGGACGCCUACUGACGCUGAGACGCGAAAGCCAGGGGAGCGAACGGGAUUAGAUACCCCCGUAGUCC
rnacentral:rRNA from 1 species